GGGGACUUCAGGUUUUCCUGGGACUAACGGGUUCCCAGGAAUUAAGGGUGAAAAGGGAAGCAUUGGUGUGCGAGGCCCAGACAGUUUCACUGAUGCAGAAGGCACUGUGAUCUCAGGUUUUCCUGGAGACCCUGGUGUGCCAGGCCUCCCAGGCCUUAGAGGAGAUGAAGGCAUCCAGGGUCAACGUGGCCCUGCUGGCACUGCUGGCCUUCCAUCGUUAACAGGUCUUCCAGGUGCCCUAGGGCCUCAGGGAUCUCCAGGCCUGAAAGGAGACCGAGGGAACUCAGGACGUACCACCUUUGGAGAAGCUGGCCUACCUGGCAGAGUUGGUUUGCCAGGUUUACCAGGCCUGCCCGGCCCAUCAGGCCCACCUGGUAAGUUAU
rnacentral:lncRNA from 1 species